GAUGAACGCUGGCGGCGUGCUUAACACAUGCAAGUCGAACGAAGCACUCUAUUUGAUUUCCUUCGGGAUUGAUUAUUUUGUGACUGAGUGGCGGACGGGUGAGUAACGCGUGGGUAACCUGCCUUGUACAGGGGGAUAACAGUUGGAAACGGCUGCUAAUACCGCAUAAGCGCACAGUACCGCAUGGUAUAGUGUGAAAAACUCCGGUGGUAUAAGAUGGACCCGCGUUUGAUUAGCUGGUUGGUGGGGUAACGGCCUACCAAGGCGACGAUCAAUAGCCGACCUGAGAGGGUGACCGGCCACAUUGGGACUGAGACACGGCCCAAAUCCUACGGGAGGCAGCAGUGGGGAAUAUUGCACAAUGGGCGAAAGCCUGACCCAGCAACGCCGCGUGAAGGAA
rnacentral:rRNA from 1 species